rnacentral:rRNA from 1 species
CCUACGGGAGGCAGCAGUGGGGAAUUUUGGACAAUGGGCGAAAGCCUGAUCCAGCAAUGCCGCGUGCAGGAAGAAGGCCUUCGGGUUGUAAACUGCUUUUGUACGGAACGAAACGGUCUGCUUUAAUACAGUGGGCUAAUGACGGUACCGUAAGAAUAAGCACCGGCUAACUACGUGCCAGCAGCCGCGGUAAUACGUAGGGUGCGAGCGUUAAUCGGAAUUACUGGGCGUAAAGCGUGCGCAGGCGGUUAUAUAAGACAGUUGUGAAAUCCCCGGGCUCAACCUGGGAAUUGCAUCUGUGACUGUAUAGCUAGAGUACGGUAGAGGGGGAUGGAAUUCCGCGUGUAGCAGUGAAAUGCGUAGAUAUGCGGAGGAACACCGAUGGCGAAGGCAAUCCCCUGGACCUGUACUGACGCUCAUGCACGAAAGCGUGGGGAGCAAACAGGAUUAGAUACCCUGGUAGUCCACGCCCUAAACGAUGUCAACUGGUUGUUGGGUGCAUUAGUACUCAGUAACGAAGCUAACGCGUGAAGUUGACCGCCUGGGGAGUACGGCCGGCAAGGUUGAAACUCGAAAGGAAUUGACGG